rnacentral:rRNA from 1 species
UGGCUCAGGACGACGCUGGCGGCGUGCCUAACACAUGCAAGUCGAGCGGGGACAUGCGACGGAGAUGAAGUUUCGGAUGGAGUUGAAGAUGUAUGUUCUAGCGGCGGACGGGUGAGUAACGCGUGAGCAACCUGUCCUUCACAGGGGGAUAACACAGCGAAAGUUGUACUAAUACCGCAUAAGACCACAGCAGGACAUCCUGCAGGGGUCAAAGGAGCAAUCCGGUGAAGGGUGGGCUCGCGUCCGAUUAGAUAGUUGGUGAGGUAACGGCCCACCAAGUCAACGAUCGGUAGCCGACCUGAGAGGGUGAUCGGCCACAUUGGGACUGAGACACGGCCCAAACUCCUACGGGAGGCAGCAGUGGGGAAUAUUGGGCAAUGGGGGGAAACCCCCUGACCCAGCAACGCCGCGUGAGUGAUGAAGGCCUUCGGGUUGUAAAGCUCUGUUAUAGGGGACGAAGGAAGUGACGGUACCCUAUAAGGAAGCCCCGGCUAACUACGUGCCAGCCGCCGC